GGGGAUGUAGCUCAAACGGUAGAGUGAUUGCUUUGCAUGCUAAAGGUACGGGGUUCGAUACCCCGCAUCUCCA
rfam:Picea glauca, whole genome shotgun sequence.